AGCACGCAUAUGAGCAUAAGGAUCUGCAUACCCUUGGUGGUUCAUAUACGGUGGUGGUGGUGCUUGUUGUCCAUACCCUUGGCCGUAUCCUUGAUUCAUAUAAGAUUCAUGUACGUAUCCUUGGUUCACAUACGGUUCUUGAACAUAAGAUUGAGAUGAUUGACCUUGCAUCAUGUAGUGUUGUUGACCGUACACUUGUCCUGGUGGGUUGUAAUACAUCGGCUGAGGUUGAUACCCAUAACCGCUAUACUCCGAUUUCUUCACAUCCAACGUAGCACCACCGUCACCUCCUCCGGCUGAG
rnacentral:lncRNA from 1 species